rnacentral:SRP_RNA from 1 species
AGGCAGGUAGGAUCAGGGUGCUAGCCGUACCCUUCCCUGGAAAUCGGCUUUAUGCCAGGAUCAGUAACUAUUAGAUAAAUCCUUGGAUAGAAAUUUCCUGCGUAUCAAGUUAAAAUGAAAUCACGCCGAACUGGACGGAUAUGAGCAGCAAACCAUGCGAAGGUGUGGUAUUGACUGUUAAUUCUCGAAAUGGGUGAGGUCCGGGAGGGAGCAACCCUAAGGUGACAUAACCGUGCUGGUCCGUCUACGUGGUGGAUCAUAUGAGAUGCGAGAUUGGGAUUUUUAUCAAAGGUGGUACUAGUAGGCUGCCU